GACGAACGCUGGCGGCGUGCUUAACACAUGCAAGUCGAACGGAAAGGGCCGGCUUGUGUGGGGUGCUCGAGUGGCGAACGGGUGAGUAACACGUGAGUAACCUGCCAUUGACUUUGGGAUAACUUCAGGAAACUGGGGCUAAUACCGGAUAGGAGCUCCUGCUGCAUGGUGGGGGUUGGAAAGUUUCGGCGGUUGGGGAUGGACGCGCGGCUUAUCAGCGUGUUGGGGGGGUAGUGGCUUACCAAGGCUUUGACGGGUAGCCGGCCUGAGAGGGUGACCGGCCACAUUGGGACUGAGAUACGGCCCAGACUCCUACGGGAGGCAGCAGUGGGGAAUAUUGCACGAUGGGCGGAACCCUGAUGCAGCAACGCCGCGUGCUGGAUGACAGCCUUCGGGUUGUAACCCGCUUUCGCCUGUGACGAAGCGUGAGUGACGGUAAUGGGUAAAGAAGCACCGGCUAACUACGUG
rnacentral:rRNA from 1 species